UUAAUACACUAAUAUUAAAUAUAGCCUGCUCAAUGAUAUAAAUAGCCGCAGAAAAUUCACUGUGCUAAGGUAGCAUAAUCACUUGCCUUUUAAUUAAAGACUAGAAUGAACGGCCUAACAAUUAAACAAUUUUUUUAACAAUAUAACUCUAAUUUUCACUAAGCAUAAAAAUAUUCUUAUUAAUAUAAAAGACGACAAGACCCCGUCGAACUUAACUGAAGUUAAGCUGGGGAAGCUAAUUAAUUACUACUGUAAAUAUUUUUAUUAUUACAUAAAUACCCAAUAUAAAUGAAAUAUAAUCAAGUUACCGCGGGGAUAACAGCGUAAUAAAUCUCUAAAGCUCUAAUUUAAAGAAUAGAUUACGACCUCGAUGUUGAAUUAAUUUUCCUUGCUAGAGCAAAAACUAUUCAAGUAAGUCUGUUCGACUUUUUAAAAAUUACAU
rnacentral:rRNA from 1 species